CUCAAGUGCCACUACUAGAUGCCUCAAAAUGAGCCAGAUGCCAGAAGUGCCAUCACUAGCUGCCACUGCCGCGCGGAAGUGCCACUACUAGCUGCCUCAAAAUGAGCCAGAUGCCGGAAGUGCCACUACUGAUGCCGGAAGUGCCACUACUAGCUGCCACUGCCGCGAUUUGAGCUUGGCCCUACUGGUAUUAUUUGAUUAACGUGCUUAAGUUUUACUUGUUUGACACAAAGGCUCCGAAAUAAACGUUGCCAGAAUUGUCCACACUGAGUAUGGCAAAAAAUAGCUAGAAGGCUAAAAGCUACUUUAAACUUAUACAUGGUAUAAAGUAUGUUCAAGCAUACAGUCAAAGUUAUUACUGUAACUUAUUAAUGUAGCUUCUUGAAAGUCUCUUUCAGAAAGUAAAUUAUCUGAAAAAUAAAAGUUAUUUAGCAUUAAUGGAAUUACAAUGAUUUGAUUGCCUAAAACAUUGCACAUGCAAAAUAUUAAAUACUGUUUUGCAUUAAAAGUUCAGCAUAAGUGUUUGUUUGAUUAACUUCCUUUGCUUUUGUUUUGUACAAAGGAAAAGCAGAACCUAAUCCAAAUAAAAAUAAACAAGCUGUUAAAGGCACUGUGUCCUACACAGACCCUCCAAAAUAUAACCACCCAAAAUAGAAGUCAGUUGAAGGUCAACACAAACCAAAUAAAGCUGUUGCGCAUUCUACAAACAAUAAAAAAAGAUCAAGUUUUGUGUCCAACACGCUUGGAUGAGACGUGCCCGACGCCGAGACUUUGUCUACCCUACAUUAAGUUGCACACUUCAUGACAGUAAACAUCAGUAUCAAGAUGGUGUGAUUGAUCUAUACCCUAGAAUAAGCUGUGACACUAUGAGACUAUUGUCUACAAUCCCAAAUUCUGGAUUGACGCCCCAGUACCAGAGGGCACGCCAAUCCCAGAGAGCAUCCAUCUGAAAGCAGGUGAGGUAACACAAGAAAAAAUAACGGGAUGGAGACUACCUGAUUCUUUGCCCAUGGCCUCAGCUUCAAAUGCAAGAAGUCCAGCAACUGUCUGAGCUGGUGGAUAUUCUGUCAGAGACUGCGUGAACAAUGUUAUGAACAGGUAUGUAUUUCUCUUGAAUUGUGUAAUCCUGCAUAAUAUUUCAGGAAUAUAUAUUGAUUACCACCAUUAACCCAGCUAUUUAUAUUACUUAAUUUCAGGAUUUAAUCUGUCACACAUUACUUGUCAGAAGUUUUAAUGUUCGUAGUGGCUCAAACAGUCAGCCAUACUGAAAACAAGAAAUCAAAACAUAAUUUCAGUGUAAGCCAUUACUUGUCAUCAAAACUUAUGCAUGAGGAUAUAGUUUAUAGCACUUGUUACAUGAUAGAUGAGUAGUUGUGAAAUGUUAAAACAUAGUUUAUGUUUGAACAUUGCAUGCAAUUGCUAUGUUGCACAUUACUGUUAAUUGUGAUUUAUUGACCAUUUAGGUAAUUUGUCUAAGGUGAAGUAAUCAUACAUUUCUUUCAUAAUUGUCUUAUGGCAAAGUUCAAUAUGAGGGGUGGUGGACAUCUGGAAAAGAAGUCUUUUAAAGGCUCACCUUUGUAUUAUGUUAUUCAAGAUGCUGUGAAGAGGUGGAGCCCAAAUGCCACCGACUCGGAAAUAGAUGCAGCUAUGGCAGACCACCUCAAGCGCGCUCCAGGAAGAGCUGGGGAAUGUGAAUACAAAAAAUAAGCCAAACAGCUGUAAUGUGUUAAAGAGAGAGUUCACCCAAAAAUGAAAAUUGUUAUAAUUUUCUUACCCAUAUGUUUCAAACCUGUAUACAUUUCUAUUUUCUGCUGAACACAAAGAUUGAAAAAUGUUUGUAACCAAGCUAACUGUCAAUCAUUUUUUUACAAUUGUAGUAAUGGGUUGUGAGAUCUGCUUUGUUAAAAACAUUCUUUCAAAUAUCUUUGUGUUCAGCAGAACAUAGAAAGGUAUACAGGUUUGAAACAUAAGAGAGAGUAAAUUACUAAAUAAUCAUUUUUGGGUGAACUAUCCUUUUAUAUAAUAAAGUAUUUUGAAAUUGUUAUUGUAGUUAAACGAUUUAAAAAAAUAAAAAGUGCUAAAUCAGAACAUGCUUCUUUUUUUUGCUUAUGUCCACAAAUAAUGUGUUCUUUAAUGUGUUUGUGAAAUACACGUGAUUACAACGUUAUAAAGACGUUCAGGUCUGACUGUACUGAAUUUGAGUAUUUUAAGAACCUUAAAAAUUGCCUAUAACAAUUGUACAAACUAGCCUGUUUUAUAUGCACGUUUAAGUGAGUAUAACCCCUGAAUUAAGCAGAGACUCAUAUUACCGUCCAGAAGAGGACAUUUUUAGAUGUGCACGGACCGUGCAGAAAAGACGUGUGAUUCACGGUCAGAUGACGUCAAAGACGUCGGUUGGAUUUUCAUUUUGGAACUAUUUUUCAACCAUGACGGGACGUGACGAACGGACGUCUUUUCAACGGUCAUCACACGUCCAAAUGUUUGCUGGGAUUGUUUAUUGUUAGUUCAUGGUAGCAGAAAAGACGUGUGAUUCACGGUCAGAUGACGUCAAAGACGUCGGUUGGAUUUUCAUUUUGGAACUAUUUUUCAACCAUGACGGGACGUGACGAACGGACGUCUUUUCAACGGUCAUCACACGUCCAAAUGUUU